AUUGUACAUUAAUUUAAUAUAAAGUAUAUAGCUGGUAACUUUAUACACAUCUUGCCUUGAACCACCACUCAGAGAGAGAUAAAGCCCUGUCUCCAGCUUCACCCAUGCCUCUUUUUAUUGGUUCCACCCUACAGACAUCCUGUAUCAUCCACCUUUACAGGAGGAUGCCAUGCUCCUGUCUUCUACCAGUGUGAACCGUAUUUCCUCAGACUCUACAGCAAUGGAAUACUUGUAUGUCUUUGGCUUCUUACUUCUUUUUAUCGACAUGAGUUUUUCAAUUUAUCUAUGUGUUUGCUUAGGUAGUAAUUUCUUCCUUUUAUUUUGAAUAAUUCUCUAUGACAUGAGCAUGUCAUAGUAAAUUUAUUCCUGAUUUCAUGUGUUGUUUUAGCUUUGAGGUUGUUAUUAACUUUCAGGGAUUUUUUAUAGUGUCUUUUAUGGACUUCUUUGCUCUCUUCCCCUGACUAUAUUCUUAGGACUGAAAGUAGUGAGUGAUGGACUUGGUUAGCACUGCUUUAUCUUUAGCAAAUGCUCCUUGGACAUUUUAUAAAACUGAGAACAAAUUUACAUGCUACCAGCCAUGCACAAAAACGUGUGUUGUCUGAAGCCUUUCUAAUACUUAUUGUUUUUUGGCUUUUAAGGUGAUAUUGUCAUUAGAACUUAUGUUUCUUUAAUGAGUAAUGAUUAUUGAAUAACUUCUUGGUUUUUUUGGUCAUUUGAAUGCUAUUUGGGGGGAUGACUUGCAGUUAAAUAAAACAGUGCAUACAGAUAAACAUGCAGUUUCCUAUUUUAUUGGGUAGUUUUUAUGUAUCUUGAAAUAAAUUAUUGUCAAUACAUUGAUUAGGCUUCUCCAGAAAGAGUUAGAAUUAUCUCUCUAUGUAUGUGUCUAGCUAUCUACCUGUGUAUUUAUCAUUUAUAUCUAUAAUACAUAUGAACUUUUUAGUUGGUUCACAUGAUAGCUGAAGGUAAAAUGAUCUACAAUGACUGCAAACUGGAGAGCCAGGAAAGUUUACACCUGUUCUGCCUAAGAAGCUGGAAAUCUCAGAAUGAAAGAGACUGGCACACUAUCCUAGUUCAUAACAAAAUCUUGAAAGCUCCCAGAGAGAGGUUCCCUGAGGCAAAUCCAUAUUGAGGAUCGAAAAGCAUAGAAUCUGAUAUCCACAAGCAAGAGAACCAUAAGAUGCACCCACUUCAGAAGGAAGAGCAAAAAAGGAAACGGUGUCAGUACAGGGAAGGAACAGAAACCUGGUGGUGCUCAUCUGUGCAGGUGUGGUUGUCCACUGACCGACAUUACUGAGCCUAAGUGCAAGCUGCCUUUGUGAAUUCUCUUCAGAGUAAGGCUGCACCAGGGAUCUCGGGAAAGAUCUCAAAACUGCAAAGGAAAUGUCUAUGUGGAAGACAAACUCCAUAGAAAGACUUAUUUCAAUGAGAUGCAUUCUAGCACCUAGGGAGAUGAUGAGAAACAUUAUUUGUAGAAAGAAGCAAUGUCCCUGUCAUGCAUUAAAAACUAGUGGUCAAUUUAGUAUCAGCUGAAUUAAAUCUGCAUGAUUCUGAGUGUAGAUGGCCCACCUGAGGAAAACUACCAGCAUAUGAAGAUAUGUGGAGGGGAGGAGAAGGUGCUGUGGUGUCUUCUAAGUGUUGUCUUUUGGAGCUUACCUUGAUAUGAAUUUGGUCAUUAUCAUUGGAGGAGCUUGUGACCUUGUUGCUGAGAAUGAUCACAGUUCACUUUGGGUUAGGUCUUGUCCUUUUGUUCAUCAUUGCUACCUGAUUCUGAAGUGGAAGAUGUGUGCUAUUUAAUUUCUGUGAGAAGCUCAUCAUGCUGUCUUCCUGGCAUGUAGUUGGCUAUUAUCAUAGGAGGAGCUCAGGACCUCAUUUUCACUGACGAUGUCUGUGAUAAUUUUCUAGGAAGACCUGGUCCUUAUUUUGAGCAUUUCUUCUUGGCUCCAUUGUCGAACUCUCAAGCUACACGCUCAGAUCCUUCAUUCCACUGGCAUAGACUUUCUAGCUUCCACCACUGAUCUUUGGGCCUUCCCAGAAAAGAUCCACAAAAUAGACUUGCAUGAAUCAUUGUGGUGGGUUCUAGACUUCCAUUUGGACUCAUGGCAGGCAUUGUUAUGGGCUCCAGGUCUUCAGCUGGACUCAUGCAAAACACUAUUUUGGGAUCCAGGCCCUCAGCUGGAUUUUCUAGGUCUUCACUGUUAUGCCCAGAUUACCUGUACUUCAUUGUAGUUUAUGCUGGGUGACCAUGAUAAAAUAAUAUUAUAAAUUUGCAUCUGAGCAGG